AGCAGCCGCGGUAAUUCCAGCUCCAAUAGCGUAUAUUAAAGUUGUUGCAGUUAAAAAGCUCGUAGUUGAAUUUCGGGAUUGACGUGACGGUCAUGCCUUAAGGGGUAUGAACUGUCACAGUUGAUUUCUCACCUUCUGGAGAAACUUGAUGUCCUUUAUUGGGUGCCUUGCGGAUCCAGGACCUUUACCUUGAAAAAUUAGAGUGUUUAAAGCAGGCAUUUUUGCUCGAAUACAUUAGCAUGGAAUAAUAGAAUAGGACGGCAUGGUUCUAUUUUGUUGGUUUCUAGGAUCACCGUAAUGAUUAAUAGGGAUAGUUGGGGGCAUUAGUAUUCAAUUGUCAGAGGUGAAAUUCUUGGAUUUAUUGAAGACUAACUACUGCGAAAGCAUUUGCCAAGGAUGUUUUCAUUAAUCAAGAACGAAAGUUAGGGGAUCGAAGACGAUCAGAUACC
rnacentral:rRNA from 1 species